ACUUUAGUUCAAGUUGCAUUUUAGAUGCGACAGGCUCAACAUCACUUAAGGGUUUUGGCCUGUAUGAAUUGUUGUAUCUUGUGAUUGAGAAAUUCAGCAAUACCAUAGGUUAAAUAGUGCAAGUUGUGAAUUACAACAAAAUCUAUCGUACAGAAAAAAAUUAAGAAAGUUGUCCUCCUCUCACCCCUUUAGCGUCAACCCUCAGCAGCCGACGAGACGCGAACCGGCACGGAAUAUCCCCGUAGCGUUAAACAGCGGACUGUAUCAAAUUUGACAAUGAGGCUUCCGGUUUCGCAUAUCUCUUUACUUCUAAUACUGGCGUUGGUGCCGUCGAUACUGACGGCGUCCACGAGAGCUCGAAGUAAAAAGAAGACCAAAGACACGAAGGAAAAAGUGGUGAACAUCUGCGACAUCGAGGAGCAAGGAUCGCCAUUUUUUUGUUACUGCGACUCGAACCAGUUGAGAAAUGCAACGAACGCAAACUGUUGGGUAUUCAGUAACAUAGAACCGGAGAUGCCGAUAUGGAGUGAUUUUAGCUCGCAGCCGAAUCUACGAAAGUUAACGUUCACCGUCAGAACCGGCGGUACUUUUACUCACAUUCCAACAACGGUAUUAAAGCAAUUCAAAGAUUUAGAGGUAAUCGAAAUUCAGUACGCCGUAAUAAAUGUACUGAUGGGACGAGCGUUUUCAAACCUAUCGUCCGUCGUUGAGAUAAAUCUGAACAGAAACGGCAUAGUGAAUAUUUCGAAAUACGCCUUCGAGAACAUGAAAAAUCUGACCCACAUCAAUCUCGACGAGAAUCGCAUUGCCGAGAUAAACAGAGACGUGUUCGUGAAUCUGCCGAAUUUGAAGAAGCUUUUCAUAGCCAGGAAUAACCUGACACUCGUACAUGACAAAGCGUUCAAGCAUCUAACUUCACUUCAAGAGUUGGACCUGAGUGGAAAUCAAAUAUCCGUCGUUACGAGGGACACCUUUUACGGUUUGAAAAGUCUAUUGCGGUUGGACUUGAGAGGCAAUAAUCUGGCGAUGAUCGGUGAUAAAACAUUCGCCGAAAUGCCCGAACUCGACGACAUGAAUCUCGAUCAAAAUCAAAUUGAAUUUAUAUCGGAGAAAGCACUCGACGGUAUGAGGAACCUCCGCAAGCUGAGGCUCAGUGACAAUAAACUCGUUACUCUGGAACCAGAUUUUCUCGCCGGCGCUCCGAACAUCUACCUCAUCGACCUCAGGGACAACCAGCUCAAGACGAUGACCUUCGACAACAUAAAACCCAUCGUUACCAACCUCUACAACAAUUCCAGCUACCUCUACCUGGACGGUAACAAACUGAACUGCGAUUGCAGACUCGCUUGGAUAUGGGGAUUGAGAAAUGAAACUAACAACACGAGGCUCAGAGAAUCGUUGGAGGAAUUGACCUGUUUUCUGGAAAUUACUAACUCUACUCUGGAGACGACCGACAGUGCGGAAAGGGAAAGCCAAGCCCUGGCUUUGGAAGGCAGCGAGAAUCUAGAGGAUUACGUGGCGGAUAGAAAUGGCGACGAUUUAACAGGUGACGAAUACGCGCAGGAUGAUGAAUAUUAUCAGGAGUACGACGAAAACUUGGGAGACACGCAAUCGGGUGCCAAUUCUCAAUCAAUGAUGGAAGUUGUGCAGGAGGGAAAGACUGGUUACGUAAGGCAUCUAUUUCAACUGAAACUUGAAGAAUUGCCUUGUCCGGACCGACAGGAUUUAAUGGCGUCUGAAGAGCCUCUGAGUCGCCAGGAAGCGACACUAGUCGGUUCUUCGGGUUCUAUAUUUUCCGAUUCGUCGGCAGAAAUUAAAUAUCUCAAUUUCUACACCCUACUCAUCGUUACCAUCACGAAUCUUGCGUUAUUAUUCACGUAGAAUUACCGCGGGCGAUGUAUAAUAAUUUAAUUUUAGUUAACAAUCCCUCUAAAAAAAAAACACAAAAUAAAAAACAUCUCAACGCAAAGCGUGCACACUGCUGCAUCUGCAAUGAUAUGUGUACUCGUCGCAACAAACAAAUCCGAUAAAAUUCCGUCAUAUUUUUGCAUAUUUGAUUUGGCAGACAUGUGAAAAAGAAUAAAUAAAUAAAUAAAAAAUUCACCCGAUACCGUUCGGAGGGAAUUUUUUUGAAUAAUUUACCGGGAUACAUACCCCUGUGGGCGUUUAAUUAGAGGGUACGCUCGAAAUCCUCCAUCAAUUUUUCUACACAUAUGAGGGCAAAAGAUAAAUAGGUGUAUACCAUAUUGUAUAUACCUAUUAGAAAAAGAGAGGAAACAGAGAAAAAAAAACCGAAGAAAGCUAAAAUUGACGGACGUUGCAAGUAUGUGAAGAAACAUGAGACUGUAAAUGAUUGGACACUGGCUCGUACAAGAUUAGUGGUAUGACCUAUUAUCAAAAUGUAUCAUUGAUUUUUUCAAAUUUCAUCAAAUUAUCAAUUAAACACCCUCGAUGUCGAAUUCAGAAUAUAUGAGUACGAUCAAGAGUUUCGGUAUUUCAGGUACGAUAAUUAUGUUGAAAUAUGAAUAUCUUUAUAAACGAGGGGUUCGCAUACAUACGUUAUAACUUAUUUUAUCAAAUAAUAAUAUUAAAUAAAGAGAUUAAAAAAAACUUCAAACCGCGCAUCGCUCUUCAGAUCCAUACACAAAUACACAUAUUUAACGAUAAUACGUAUAACAAGAAUAAUAAUAAUAAUAAUAAUAAUCAUGAUUAUUACACUAUAUCGCCGUGUUAUGACGGCGAUUCGUUACUUAAUAGAAUCAUGAAUAAAAAAAAUAAAUAAAUGAAUAAAUGAAAUUAGAAAAAGUUGAUAAAAAUAUAAUGAAACGUUUGACAAAAAGCAAAAGAAAAAAAAAAACAAACUAAACGAACAAAUAACUUCUCUAACGUAGCUGCUGUUUUAAAAAUAUUAUAGUUAACGUAUAAAUCGAAAGAGAGAAAAAGAAAAAAACACAUUUCGAUUCAGACCUAUCUACGUGUAUAAUUCAAGAGAGGUGGAUGAGUAGUAUUUAAAGAAUAAGACGGAUUUACCAUUGUAUUAUAAUACCAAAAAUAUUACGCUCUGCUACACGAAGUAAGCAUUUUUGCUUUUACUGCCGUAAUUUUAGUCUCGCUAUAUCUAUAUAGGUAUUAUUUAUACGUAAAGGAGAACAAUUCUUAAAUAUACAUUAUAAUGUAACGAUACCGAAUCAAUCAUCCGAUCGUUGAAUUGAACAGAGCUAAACAUACAAAGCGCGGAUUCAUCGGGAGAUCCGACGUGAAAAAAAAUGAUAGAAGAAGAAAAAAAAAAAUCACUAUUACAUUAAUUAGCAGAAAAUAAAAUACGAUACCUAUAAAAAGUAUACCAUUUAUUAAAAUGUUUAUAUUUUUUCAUCGACAUCACCCCAAUCAUCAUUAUCUUCACUAUAUGUGUAGGUAUAUAUAUAUAUAUAUAGUAUAACAAAAACAUAUUUAUACAAUUAUAGUAUAAUAGGUAUAGUGUAUAAAAUUUACAACGAGAUGAAAAAUAUUCUCGUUGUAAUAAUCACAGCGUGGCUACAUAAUCAAGAGAAAAGGGAAAUAAAUAAAAUGAAAACACCUGAAAUUAAAUACUGACUCGAUACCUUUCAAUCGUAUUGAACAAUCGCGUGGUAAAAGAGAGCAAAAAAAAAUUGGACUGAAAGAAGAAAAAACUAAAUUCAAUUAAAGUGUGAAAGAAAAAUCGCGCCCCAAUUUUCACGCCCUCUACAUAUUGUUAUAUCAGGUGUAGGUAUGUUCGAAAUUCACUCUACGCCACCCACAUGUAGGUAUAGACUCGUGUAUUCAAUCUUCGUUUCUCUGGACGAACAUUUUUUUUUUAUCCUAUUCUUCUAUUCUCCUUUCUCUCUUCUUCUAAUCAUGAUUAAUCACUACACAGUAUCCAAUCGUUCGCAGGCAGAUUCAUUAGAAUUUCGAUAUAAUACCGUGGAAAAUCUGAAGGGAGUAUGAAAGUGUAAGACGAGGGCUUGUCAGAGGGGGAGGGGUUCCGAACAAACGGUGUAAUGGAUGUAAUAUGUUUAAAAUGAUUAUAUGACAUAGGAAUAAAUGAUAAAAACGACUAUUAGCGUAUAAGCAAUGCUUUUUGUGUGUGGUUGCAAUCUAUAUUAAUAAUAUAAAAGAAAAAGAAAGGAAAAUGGAGAAAGAGUUUCCUUUUUUUUUAUCGAUCAAGUCCAAAGUAUAGAAAAAGAAUAAUUAAAGUGCUUCAUCGGGUUACAUCAAAUCAAUCGACAUGGUAGAUUCAUUUUAUAAACGUCCUUUUCAUCGGUAUUUCAUCACAUUCGUAGAUUUUUUUUUUUUUUCUCUUAUUGCAAUUACGACGUUUGGUGGCUGAUGUGAAAAUUAAUAUUCUGUAAUAGCACCUAUAUUUUAUUAUAUUUUGCUAAAAAAAAAUUUUACGAAACGUGUAUAACAAAAUAGGUAUAUAUAUAUAUAUAUGUAAUGUAUGAUUUGAAAAAUAAUUUUAAGUAAAUAUCAUCUAUGGAUAUACAUGGAAAUGAUAAUACUUAUAUGUAAACCGAAGUUGUAAUAUGUAUUAUAUGUUCUUUUAUAAGGAUUAGCAAUAAUAAUGAUAUUAUUAAAUAAAAUUAAUAAUAAUGAUACGGAUGAUAACGAUAGUAAUUAUAAUAUAAAAUUAAUAAACAAAAUUAAACGAAAAAAAACCACAACGACAACGCUCUGUUCUUCCGCUCUGAAAAGUUUUUUUAUUCAACUUUUUUCUUUAUUUUUUCAAAGUUUCCCCGCAGCCACAAGGCACUUUGCAAAGUGGCGACAUAAGUAACGCUUACUUUACUCCCUCGAGAACACCACGUGCACGUACACACGUAUGUGUACGUAUAUUUACAUGAAGUACAGUAAUACGGAUUGCGCGAUUCUUGGUUCCGGGGAUGGAGCAGCGUUGAGGCAACUUUGAAAAAUUGAAGAAAUAAAGAUAGCGAUGCCGGAAGUAUGAACUACGACGCAAAAAUGGGUCGAGAAAAAUGAAGUGCACGCGACUCACGUACACUCGAACCGCAACUUUUAUCCAAAUUUUGAAAUUUUUAUGAAAUUUGGCCGGACUAGGAAAGCGGGAGAAAAGUGUAAAGCAAACUUUUCCCACCGUACACGCUGCCGCGGUAGUAUCGGUAAUUUGAAACGCAUACAGACCUGUAUUAUUUGCGCACCCCAACCGCUCGCUGUUGCUCCAACAAUAGUUUAUAUGGUUUAAUCAAGUUUCCGAAGUCUGAAGUACCCGUGAGGAACGAGGAGCAAUCAAUUUCGCACCUCGACGACGUACCGAGCUGUACGAACGAGCUGUAGGAUGUAAACCUCGUCGAAGCACAACGCGAAAUGACUAAAUAUUGGACACUGUUUCUCGGCAUAAGUGACGAUAUGUAAGCUUCGGCGUCACCGGGGGAGGGGCCGCUGAUCGCGAACUCGAAGAUCAUAAUUAACCGUUUACUCGAUUUCCGACGUAAACUGACGCCGACUUUGCAGCUUCGUUUGUUGGAUAUUCAUUAAAUUUUUUUCUGCUCUUUUAUUCUGAAAUCCUGCUGCGAAUGGUUACUCGUUCGCAAUUAACUGGCAAUUAUAUUAUCCGAAGAUAUUUCGCGCGAAACAAAACGACGCAAUAAAAGCGAAUGACGGUAAGCUCUUGUUAUUCCGAUCAGAGCUAUUGCAGCCAGCCGAUACAUAGAUAUACGAUCAAUUUUUGACAAUAAUUUACGAAACGUUUACGUCACAAUACAUUUAUUGUACAUACGUCGCGUGUGUCAAAAAUGAAUAUCGCGAGCUCACAACUAAACGUCGCGUAUAUGCGUGACGUACGUACGAACUUGUUCACAAGGAGGUAUAAUGGGUUUACUCCGCAUUUGAAACCUCGUUAAAUAACUUUGAUCGUGCACAUCGGGUUUGUUUUCUUUUUCUAUUUGUACCUAAUUUAGUGGAGAACACAUCUGCCGUCUCGACGUUGUAAAUAGAUGGAAUCACAUUCAGACCUCCUACAACCAGCGACAGAUGAAGAAGACCUCUCCGACAUAUCUUACAUUAUAGUUGUAAUUUAAUUUUUUAUCUGAUUUCAUUUAUUUUUUCAUUUUUUUCCACUCAUUUUUCUACCGACUUUGUUUCACACGAGGCAUACGUAUACCCCGAGAGGGUACAGGCGCGGCAGCAAAGUACGAGCAAAAACUCGCCACCCUUAACGAAUCGUACGUUCGUAUAAUCAAUGAUAAAAUUAGUGGUGAAUUAAAAUUAA